rnacentral:tRNA from 1 species
GGGGUCGUAGCGAAGCCAGGCAUCGCAACGGGCUCCAGAUCUAACAAACAGGGCUUUAUUAGAGAAAGAUACCCGUGGAUCAGGGGUUCAAAUGUGCGGUAUACCGUAACAGAACAAAUCCCUUCGGCCCCA